UCCAGGGUAGCCUAGUGUAAGGCUCGGUAAGCGGAACACUGUGGGUUCGAUUCCCAUCCCUGGAU